UCCACCCGUGGUCUGCAAGGUGUCAGCAGGUAGCCCGUGACAGCAACUGCCAGUACCCACAGGCUCUUUUCAGUGGUGCCCAGCGACAGGACAAGAGCGGAUUCCUCAUCUGAUCAUGAAGACAGGAGAAUUUUCCUUUCCACCUCCAAAGAACUGAAAGUUCCUCCGGGCUCGAUCUGAGAAACGCUGCAUAAUUACGCACGGGACACCUGGUGCGGUUUGUGUGACAGCAUUGAAACAGCCUCUGAGUCACCUACUGCUGACUCCUGCGGUCAUUCCCCUCACUCCAACAGAGGUAUCUUCUCUACCUCCGUCCUGGCUCA